GGCGGCGUGCCUAAUACAUGCAAGUCGAGCGAACAGACAAGGAGCUUGCUUCUCUGACGUUAGCGGCGGACGGGUGAGUAACACGUGGGUAAGGCAGGUAUAAGACUGGAAUAACUUCGGGAAACCGGAGCUAAUACUGGAUAAUAUUUCGAACCGCAUGGUUGCUGGUGAAAGAUGGUUUUGCUAUCACUUAUAGAUGGACCCGCGCCGUAUUAGCUAGUUGGUAAGGUAACGGCCUACCAAGGCGACGAUACGUAGCCGACCUGAGAGGGUGAUCGGCCACACUGGAACUGAGACACGGUCCAGACUCCUACGGGAGGCAGCAGUAGGGAAUCUUCCGCAAUGGGCGAAAGCCUGACGGAGCAACGCCGCGUGAGUGAUGAAGGUCUUCGGAUUGUAAAACUCUGUUAUUAGGGAAGAACAUACGUGUAAGUAACUAUGCACGUCUUGACGGUACCUAAUCAGAAAGCCACGGCUAACUACGUGCCAGCAGCCGCGGUAAUACGUAGGUGGCAAGCGUUAUCCGGAAUUAUUGGGCGUAAAGCGCGCGUAGGCGGUUUUUUAAGUCUGAUGUGAAAGCCCACGGCUCAACCGUGGAGGGUCAUUGGAAACUGGAAAACUUGAGUGCAGAAGAGGAAAGUGGAACUCCAUGUGUAGCGGUGAAAUGCGUAGAGAUAUGGAGGAACACCAGUGGCGAAGGCGACUUUCUGGUCUGUAACUGACGCUGAUGUGCGAAAGCGUGGGGAUCAAACAGGAUUAGAUACCCUGGUAGUCCACGCCGUAAACGAUGAGUGCUAAGUGUUAGGGGGUUUCCGCCCCUUAGUGCUGCAGCUAACGCAUUAAGCACUCCGCCUGGGGAGUACG
rnacentral:rRNA from 1 species